AUUGAACGCUGGCGGCAUGCCUUACACAUGCAAGUCGAACGGCAGCAUAGGAGCUUGCUCCUGAUGGCGAGUGGCGAACGGGUGAGUAAUAUAGCGGAACGUGCCCUAGAGUGGGGGAUAACUAGUCGAAAGACUAGCUAAUACCGCAUACGAUCUAAGGAAGAAAGUGGGGGCUCGCAAGACCUCAUGCUCCUGGAGCGGCCGAUAUCUGAUUAGCUAGUUGGUGGGGUAAAAGCCUACCAAGGCAACGAUCAGUAGCUGGUCUGAGAGGACGACCAGAAACAGGGGGACUGAGAAACGGCCCAGACGCCUACGGGAGGAAGAAGUGGGGAAUGUUGGACAAUGGGGGAAACCCUGAUUCAGCAAUGCCGCGUGAGUGAAGAAGGCCUUCGGGUUGUAAAGAUCUGUAGUCAGGGAAGAAACGGUAGUAGCAAAUAUCAACAACUAAUGACGGUACCUGAAGAAUAAGCACCGGCUAACUACGUGCCAGCAGCCGCGGUAA
rnacentral:rRNA from 1 species